rnacentral:rRNA from 1 species
AUGAAGCCGGAAUUGCUAGUAAUGGCAGGUCAGCAUACUGCCGUGAAUACGUUCCCGGGCCUUGUACACACCGCCCGUCACACCAUGAGAGUUGGGAAUACCCGAAGCCUGUGAGCUAACGAAAGAGGCAGCAGUCGAAGGUAGAAUCAAUGAUUGGGGUGAAGUCGUAACAAGGUAGC